AGCGGCGGACGGGUGAGUAACGCGUGGGUAACCGUGCCUCAUACAGGGGAGUAACAGUUGGAAACGACUGCUAAUACCGCAUAAGCACACAGUGCCGCAUGGUACGGUGUAGAAAAACUCCGGUGGUAUGAGAUGGACCCGCGUCUGAUUAGGUAGUUGGUGAGGUAACGGCCCACCAAGCCGACGAUCAGUAGCCGACCUGAGAGGGUGACCGGCCACAUUGGGACUGAGACACGGCCCAAACUCCUACGGGAGGCAGCAGUGGGGAAUAUUGGACAAUGGGGGAAACCCUGAUCCAGCCGACGCCGCGUGAGUGAAGAAGUAUUUCGGUAUGUAAAGCUCUAUCAGCAGGGAAGAAAAUGACGGUACCUGACUAAGAAGCCCCGGCUAACUACGUGCCAGCAGCAGC
rnacentral:rRNA from 1 species